UACGUAGGGGGCGAGCGUUGUCCGGAAUCAUUGGGCGUAAAGCGCGUGUAGGCGGUUCGGUAAGUCCGCUGUGAAAGUCGGGGGCUCAACCCUCGAAAGCCGGUGGAUACUGUCGGGCUUGAGUACGGAAGAGGCGAGUGGAAUUCCUGGUGUAGCGGUGAAAUGCGCAGAUAUCAGGAGGAACACCAAUUGCGAAGGCAGCUCGCCGGGACGUUACUGACGCUGAGACGCGAAAGCGUGGGGAGCAAACAGG
rnacentral:rRNA from 1 species